rnacentral:rRNA from 1 species
UUCCUACGGGAGGCAGCAGUAGGGAAUAUUGGGCAAUGGGCGAAAGCCUGACCCAGCAACGCCGCGUGUGUGAUGAAGGCCUUCGGGUUGUAAAGCACUUUUGGCAGGGACGAGGAAGGACAGUACGAGUGGAAUAAGCCUCGGCUAACU